GACGAACGCUGGCGGCGUGCUUAACACAUGCAAGUCGAGAGAUGAAGCACCUUCGGGUGUGGAUUAGCGGCGAACGGGUGAGGAACACGUGAGGAAUCUGCCUUCCACUCUGGGAUAACUCCGGGAAACCGGGGCUAAUACCGGAUAUUUUCAACUGGCGGCAUCGCCGGUUGAAGAAAGUUUUUCGGUGGAAGAUGACCUCGCGGCCUAUCAGCUUGUUGGUGAGGGAAAGGCUCACCAAGGCGACGACGGGUAGCCGGCCUGAGCGGGUGAACGGGCACACUGGGACUGCGAGACGGCCCAGACUCCUACGGGAGGCAGGAGGGGGGAAUAUUGGGCAAUGGAGGAAACUCUGACCCAGCGACGCCGCGUGAGGGAUGAAGGCUUUCGGGUUGUAAACCUCUUUCAGCAGGGAAUAAGCGAAAGUGAAGGUACCUGCAGAAGAAGCACCGGCUAACUAUGUGCCAGCCGCCGCGGUAA
rnacentral:rRNA from 1 species